GAUGAAGAACGCAGCGAAAUGCGAUAAGUAAUGUGAAUUGCAGAAUUCAGUGAAUCAUCGAAUCUUUGAACGCACAUUGCGGCCAUAGGUAUUCCUUUGGCCAUGCCUGUUCGAGCGUCAUUUACACCCUCAAGCCUAGCUUGGUGUUGGGCGCCUGUCCCGCCGUUUUCGCGCGCGGACUCGCCUCAAAGUCAUUGGCGGCGGUCGUGCCGGCCCCCUCGCGCAGCACAUUUGCGCUUCUCGGAGGCCCGGCGGAUCCGCGCUCCAGCAAGACCUUUCACGACUUGACCUCGGAUCAGGUAGGGAUACCCGCUGAACUUAAGCAUAUCAAUAAGCGGAGGA
rnacentral:misc_RNA from 1 species